UGGGGAAUCUUGCACAAUGGGGGAAACCCUGAUGCAGCGACGCCGCGUGAACGAUGAAGCCCUUCGGGGUGUAAAGUUCUUUCGGCAGGAACGAUAAUGACGGUACCUGAAGAAGAAGCUGCGGCUAACUACGUGCCAGCAGCCGCGGUAAUACGUAGGCAGCAAACGUUGUUCGGAGUUACUGGGCGUAAAGAGUACGUAGGCGGUUUGCCAAGUUUGGUGUGAAAUCUCCUGGCUUAACUGGGAGGGUGCGCCGAAUACUGGCGAGCUUGAGUAUUGGAGAGGAAAGCGGAAUUCCUGGUGUAGCGGUGAAAUGCGUAGAUAUCAGGAGGAACACCGGUGGUGUAGACGGCUUUCUGGACAAUCACUGACGCUGAGGUACGAAAGCGUGGGUAGCAAAC
rnacentral:rRNA from 1 species